GGGGAGAGUUAACCUGCGCCAGUAACAGAGGGCUGACUCUACACUGCCGCUCGCAUACAAAUGGCCGCAACUCCUGCCCGCAGGUUGUACAGCACUGUGAGACAGCUCAGGGGCUGAGACAAAUGAGCUAGCUCCUCUACCUGCUUAAUCUCCGAACUCAACUCGAAUUAUUCAUUCAGAUGCUCCAGCCUCAGACGCAGCACAGAAGCGAGGCUGGCGCCACAGGUGUGUGUGAGCAGAGCCGCAGGCUUUGCCUGCCGGGAGCUGUGGAUCAAAGAUACACAGGGGCUCAGGUCUGGGCUGGGGCUGGGAGCCGAGCCGUCUCAUCCUCGUCUCAUCCUCGUCUCAUCCUCGUCUCAUCUUAAUCUCAUCUUCAUCUCGUCCACCUGCGUGGGCUCCACAGCCCCUGCCCACUGUGCAGAGUGCACCUCCUCCUAUCUGUAUGCCUCCUCAGCACGUCUUUAGGGAUCACUUUUUGCGUCAGAAAUGCUAACGUUAACAUAUAUGCUGUCAGCUGUACAAUGUGCAAUGCUGAGAGUACAGUGUGGAGUGAUGUUGAAGGCCUUUUCUGUUAAACAACAGCACAUCCUAAAACAUAUGGCAUACUACUUUCUGACUUAUUCCCAAGCUAAUUUAUAGCAGUAUUACACUUUGCAGAGCCCAGAGGUGGAGGUUCAUCAUCUAACUAGAUGCCAAAAGCUACAUGACCACAGGCAGAAUAAGUUAAAAAGAUCUAUAAAUUCAGCAAAAAAUGUCUUAUCUUGGCACAGCAUUCAUCCUCUAGACCAGCCACAGUGGUGUGUUAACGCUAUACUUACCUCUUGGAAAGUCUUAUGUCAGGCUGAAAUAACUGAGAAGGUCAUACACUUUAAUGCAGAAUGCAGA